AUACGGAGGGUGCAAGCGUUACUCGGAAUCACUGGGCGUAAAGCGCGCGCAGGCGGCCAUUUAAGUUGGAUGUGAAAGCCUACGGCUCAACCGUAGAACUGCAUCCAAAACUAUUUGGCUAGAGUGUGGGAGAGGAAGAUGGAAUUAGUUGCGUAGGGGUAAAAUCCGUAGAGAUAACUAGGAAUACCAAAAGCGAAGGCAAUCUUCUGGAACAUUACUGACGCUGAGGCGCGAAAGCGUGGGGAGCAAACAGGAUUAGAUACCCCAGUAGUCC
rnacentral:rRNA from 1 species